AAGUAUAAAAAUAUUAAAUGGCCGCGGUACUUUGACCGUGCAAAGGUAGCAUAAUCGUUAGUUUUUUAAUUGAAAUCUUGUAUGAAUGGUUGGACAAGAAAGAAUCUGUCUUUAUAUUAUAAAUUGAAUUUAACUUUUAAGUGAAAAGGCUUAAAUUAAUUAAAGGGACGAUAAGACCCUAUAAAGCUUUAUAUUAUUAUUUUAUUUAGUUAAAUUUUAAAAAAUAAAAAUUUAAUAAAAAAAUUUAUUUUAUUGGGGCGAUAAAAGUAAAAUGAUUAUUAACUGCUUAAUUUUUAAUACAUUUAUUAAUGAUUAAAUUUUAAAUGAUCCUGUUUAAAGAUUAAAAGUUUAAGUUACUUUAGGGAUAACAGCGUUAUUUUUUUUGAGAGUACUUAUCGAAAAAAAAGUUUGCGACCUCGAUGUUGAAUUAAAAUAUCUUUAUAAUUGCAGUAGUUAUAAAAGUAGGUCUGUUCGACCUUUAAAAUUUUACAUG
rnacentral:rRNA from 1 species